rnacentral:tRNA from 1 species
GUAGACAUAGUUUAAUCAAAACACUAGAUUGUGAUUCUAAAAAUAGGGGUUAAAGCCCCUUUGUCCACC